rnacentral:misc_RNA from 1 species
AACAAACUGAUCCUGAGAUCUCAUCAACAUUUGGAUGGUACAUUUUAUUAAUAAAACCAAUUGACGGAGAUUUAUACGGGUAUGCAUCUGGAAGUUCCACCUUUAUUUUCCAAACUCCACCGUGAUAAGGACUUUCAGCAGGUCCAUGGAAAUGCACAUAAAACUCUUGCAUCCCAUCAUUGAUCAUUUCAACUUUGUAAUCACUCAUCAUCAGCUUCAUCAAGUCCAUCUCUCUUCUUUUGCUUGGGGAAGACAUGAUUUUUGGCUCUUCUUUUUGGUGAUUUUUGAAGAUAGAAAAAGAAUCAGUUGCUUGUACAACUCAGACAAGCAAAAUAAAUAGUCCAGACAUGAGGGAGAAGAAG